UUCUCCUACGGGAGGCAGCAGUGAGGAAUAUUGGUCAAUGGGCGCGAGCCUGAACCAGCCAAGUCGUGUGAGGGAAGACGGUCCUAUGGAUUGUAAACCUCUUUUGUCGGGGAGCAAAAGACGCCACGCGUGGCGUUCCGAGAGUACCCGAAGAAAAAGCAUCGGCUAACUCCGUGCCAGCAGCCGCGGUAAUACGGAGGAUGCGAGCGUUAUCCGGAUUUAUUGGGUUUAAAGGGUGCGUAGGCGGGUUAUCAAGUCAGCGGUAAAAUCGUGGAGCUCAACUCCAUCCAGCCGUUGAAACUGAG
rnacentral:rRNA from 1 species